rnacentral:rRNA from 1 species
UACAGAGGGGGCAAGCGUUGUUCGGAAUGACUGGGCGUAAAGGGUGCGUAGGCGGUUUUUCAAGUCAAGUGUUAAAGCCCUGAGCUUAACUCAGGAAGUGCGCUUGAAACUGAAGGACUCGAGUAUGAUAGAGGAAAAUGGAAUUCCUUGUGUAGAAGUGAAAUUCGUAGAUAUAAGGAGGAACACCAGAGGCGAAGGCGAUUUUCUGGGUCAUUUCUGACGCUGAGGCACGAAAGCGUGGGGAGCAAACAGG